rnacentral:rRNA from 1 species
UUUGACCUCAGAUCAGGCAAGCCUACCCGCUGAAUUUAA